CCUCGCUGGCAAGGCCAAGGCGUACGUGAAUGAGUCACACCGACGCUUCUGCGGCGCACAUCAUGGUGUUCAGCCACUUCAGGCCAGGGGACCUUGAACAAUGGUAUAUCUGUGCUGAGAGGACACUGCACCAAGUUAAUGGAAAAAGCGAAGUUGUCUGUGCACCAAGAGGCUCAGCAGAUUGAGUGUUACAUUUUCUGCUGUAGAUGCAGUGCGAGUGAGCACUUGAAGGUCAGCUCUGACCUGGUC